rnacentral:misc_RNA from 1 species
AAGUCGUAACAAGGUCUCCGUUGGUGAACCAGCGGAGGGAUCAUUACAGAGUUGCAAAACUCCCAACCCUUUGUGAACGAACCUACUAGUUGCUUCGGCGGCAGACCCCUCUGGGGCCUAGCCUUUACGGGUACCCCGCCGGAGGAAAACCAAAACUCUUGUUUUUACUACCGGCCUCUCUGAGUAUACUUACUUAAAAUAAGUCAAAACUUUCAACAACGGAUCUCUUGGUUCUG